rnacentral:rRNA from 1 species
CUACGGGCCGCUGCAGUGGGGAAUUUUGCGCAAUGGGGGGAACCCUGACGCAGCAAUACCGCGUGAGUGAAGAAGGCCUUUGGGUCGUAAAGCUCUUUUCUUGGGGAAGAUAGUGACGGUACCCAAGGAAUAAGCACCGGCUAACUCCGUGCCAGCAGCCGCGGUAAUACGGAGGGUGCAAGCGUUGUUCGGAUUUACUGGGCGUAAAGGGCACGUAGGCGGCACAGCAAGUUAAGGGUGAAAUCCCGGGGCUCAACUCCGGAACUGCUCUUAAAACUGCUGAGCUAGAGAUAGUCAGAGGCGGGUGGAAUUCCAGGUGUAGAGGUGAAAUUCGUAGAUAUCUGGAGGAACACCGGUGGCGAAGGCGGCCCGCUGGGGCUAUUCUGACGCUAAGGUGCGAAAGCGUGGGGAGCAAGCGGGAUUAGAUACCCGCGUAGUC